rnacentral:misc_RNA from 1 species
GAUGAAGAACGUAGCGAAAUGCGAUACGUAAUGUGAAUUGCAGAAUUCAGUGAAUCAUCGAGUCUUUGAACGCACAUUGCGCCCCCUGGUAUUCCGGGGGGCAUGCCUGUCCGAGCGUCAUUGCUGCCCUCAAGCACGGCUUGUGUGUUGGGCCUCCGUCCUCCUCCCGGGGGACGGGCCCGAAAGGCAGCGGCGGCACCGCGUCCGGUCCUCGAGCGUAUGGGGCUUCGUCACCCGCUCUUGUAGGCCCGGCCGGCGCUUGCCGACAUAUUAAUCUUUUUUCCAGGUUGACCUCGGAUCAGGUAGGGAUACCCGCUGAACUUAAGCAUAUCAAUAAGCGGAGGA